AAUACAUAAACUUAAAAAAAAUUAAAAAUGAAAUGUUUUGUUCUUAUGUUAUUUUUAGAACAGUCUGUUAAUAAAAAUGUUAAAAUAUGAACAGAAAUAAUACUUACCUAAAGGAAAUUACUGGAGACGGUAGAGCAUAACAGUUGGAAGCGUGAGCCCUAGAUGUAGGGAAACUUCGAUUUCACCUCCCACUCGACAUAGUAUAUGCUAUUAAAUUGUGAUGGUUCCUUAGCUACAUUAAUGCUCGUUUUCCAAAUGUGAAAAACGGGAAUAAUAAGUUUCUGCUGGAGGGAGAAGUUGUAGGAAUAAUUGAAUAAUGUAAUAGACAUGGGCGACUAUUUUUUCAUCUUUCUUCAUCAUCAAUCAUCUCUGAACCAGGUAACCACAAAUUUGCCACCAGGUUAUGUUCCAAAAAUUCACAUGUGAGUUGUUUGAAAGUUGAAACAUCCUUUUCCCCCGUGGAAUAACAUAAUAAAUAUAGGUUAGAGCUAAUUGAAAGAAUCCUAUCAGCUCAUUAGUGAUACUCUAUAAAUUUGUUAUGGGUUAAAUAGGCUCCCUGGAAAAACCAGAGCUAGACUAUUUGAAACAAUUAUAAUAAAGGAUGCUACUAAUCCUCUUGGAUAAAACAGAAGUCAGCAAACUUUCUCUGUUAAAGGCCAGAUAGUAAAUAUUUUAGGCUUUGGGGGCCAUAUGGUCUCUGUCACAACUCCUCAGAUCUACUGUUAAGAGUUCCAAAGCAGCCACAGAUUAUAUACAAAUGAAUGAUUGUGGCUCUGUUCCAAUAAAACUUUAUGGACACUGAAAUUUGACUUUUAUAUAAUUUUUAGGUGUUACAAAUAUUCUUCUUCUUUUUAUUUUAUUUUUUCAAUAAUUUCAAAAUGUGAAAAGCAUUGCUCACAGGCUAUGUCUGACCAGAAACAUGAUGUUGUCUUUUCUGAACUUUUUCCCUAAAAUAUUGUACUUCGCUCACCUUUGUCAGCAUUUCAUCUCUCAGGGAUCUGAAAGGUUCUAAAAUUUGAAAAUUGAUUAUUUAUUAAAAACAAAGGUCAAAGACCCAUGGUCUAGGACAGAGUGUUGAUAAUUUGGAAUUUGAUUCAGAAGUCUGGGUACAAGACCACAAUUAUAACUUAGUAGUGAUCUGCUUUGGUGCAAGCCAGUUAAACUCCACAAGCCCAGACUUCUGGUGUUGAAAGUGGGGAAUAUCUCAUCCCUCACAGGGUUGCUAUAAGGAACAAAUGGGACACUGUUUACCAUGAUCACUAAUUAAGGGGCACUGUAGAAUGGGAGACAUGAAUACCUCACUCUAUGAUGGUUUCCAGUAUCUGUGCUGUAGGUCCCUGUGUCCAUUUGCUAGGACUCCCAGAACAAAAUACGACAGACUGGGUGGCUUCAACAAUAGAAAUUUACUCUCUUACAGUUAUGGCAACCAGAGGUUCAAAAUCAGGCUGUGGCAGUUUAGUUUUUCCUGAAAGCUGAGUCUCCUUGGCUUACAGACACCGCCUUCUCACUAUGUCCUCACAUGGCCUUUCCUCUGUGCUGGCAUCCCUGGCAUUUCUUCCUCCUCUUAUGAGGGCACCAGCUCAAUCGGAUAAGAGCCCCACCCGUGUGAUCUCAUUUAACCUUAGUUAUCUCCAAAUACAGUCACAAUGGAGAUUAGGGCGUCAGCAUAUGAAUUUUGGGGAGACACAGCUCUGUAACAGUCAAUGACAGUCCUGUAGUAAUGACUAAAUCGUCCAGAAACCAACAUAGGUAACUAAGCUAAAUCCCCGUAGGUAAAAGACACAAUAUAGAGGAGUAGACAAUGUGACCGACCAUAAGGAUGCAUUUUAAUAGUUCCCUUAAUCUCAAAAUUCAACAUCUGGGUUAUUUCAAUCUAAGAUAAAUCUAAAUAGAAUUAUAUUGCAUUAAAUUUUUGUUAUACUAUUUUUUUGCAUUUACUAUAGGAAAAUAUAAUGCCAAGGAGUAAAAUUAAUUUCCUUUAUAGAGAUUGAUUUUUGACCUGAGUAAGGUUAAAACAGUGAAAGCUUUUAACUCUAGGAAUAAUGAGUAUUGCUUCAGGACUUCUGGCUGUUGAUGUGGGAAACUUUUGCCAAGGUAUCCAAUAUAGUUUUCCCUAAUGCUCUUUACUUCUUUUUACUUUUCUUCGCUGAAGAUCAGAAUAUUUCCUAAAUGUUUGUUUUCUAUCUAUCAUGUAGACCUUUUUGUUUGCCUUUAGUUAAAAAGUCAUAUGUCAAAUAUCAUUCAUGGUAUUGCUUUAGGUGGAGUAAAACAAAUUGCUUUGGAAAUCAACAACCUUGAGGGAAUUUACACAGGACUAUUUUGAUAUUCAACAAAAAUUUCUGUUUUUUAAAUUUUUAAUUUUUUGUUAUUUUAUUCCUACACACGUGAGCAGGGGAGGUACAGGGGAGAAAGGCAGAGAGAGAAUCUUAAGCUGGCUUCAAGCCCAGGGCCAAGAAAUCACCACCUUGAGAUCUUGACCUGAACCAAAGUCAAGAGUCAGAUGUUUAACUGACUGAGCCACCCAAGCUCCCCUCAACAAAAAUUUUUAAAUCCUGAUUAUUCUCCACCACUACUUUUGUGAAUUAGUCUUCAUAUAUUUCAGGAUGGUUUUGUUUUUCAUAAACAGAUGCAUCUAAUGUUAGUUUAAUCCAUAUGUAUUUGGUUUUUAGAAAAAGCAUAGUGAAAGAUAAUGUAGACUUAAAAAUGUAGAAGUCCUACCCAAAGCAUAGACUGACAGGUGUUUAAUGGACACACAUUUAUAAUACAAGUCCCUGUUGACAACCAUUACUUGAAGAGUCAGUUAGAUAGUUAAUUUCUAAAUUCUCUUAAGCCAAAAAGUGGCAGUUGAGUUAAUUUUGUCAAUAACGUGUAGAUUCAUGUUAUGGGAUGUAGUUUGCUAAGAACUUAGUGGAGGCCAUAGAAGUAAUUUUAAUUGAGAUUUUUACAACCAUUUGAUAACAGUGUUUUGAUCACUGUAGUUAGGGCAGGAUUCCAACAGUGGCCAUAAAAUCUGUGACUAAUCCACUGAGUCACCCAGUCCCUGUCAUAUAUUGUUUAAUGGCCCAUGCUGCCAGGAAUUAUUAUCGCUUUCUAGUGGUAAUUUUUAAAGAGAGAAACUUUGUGGACACAAAAGAUGAAUAUAAGAUGAAAACUUAUGUUUGUAAAGGCAGUUAAUAAAACAUCUCUUCACUAAGGAUAUGAUAGAGUUUACUCGUUUAUAAUGACUGUUCAGAUUCUUAAAUUAUAUACAUGAAUAUAAAUAUAUAUUUGUGUAUAUGUGUAUAUAUGAUAGCGAUGAAUAUUCUAACUUUCCUUGGUUAAUGUUUGCAGGGCACUUACAGAUGCUAGAAUAAUCUCUAAUGUUUUUGCUCAAUCUGCUCUGGAGAUGGAUGAAAUAAAUAGUUUAAACUAAUUAAUGUAACACCAGCUGUUACAAGUGCUUGGCAGACGUCUGUGCGUUUUGAUGGGCAGGGAGCGGCUGUUGUACUUGACUUUAUUUUAGUACAAUGUUGAUCACAGUGUAAGCUGGAAUAAAUGACAAGCCAAAAGAAGAAACAGAGGAUGAAUUUCAUGUAAUGCGAAAUAAAAACCAUCUUCUUCUCUAAAAAUAUAUAAUUUUUAAAGCUGAGGGAUGGAUAGAGCGAUUGUUGUGCAGGGAUUCAUCAAGUCAUAAGAAAGGUUCUAACCCUUGAUGGCUGCUACGUUAAACAUGCCCAAUAAUUCCAUGCUGCAGAUAAAAGCUGCUAAGGUAUAGGUACGUGAUCUUGGACACUGUCCUUGGUUUUUCCAAAGGACCUAUUAGAGUUGCAGGUAUGCAGUGUCAGCUAGAUGUUUCGAGACCCUCUUUCUGCUAAUUAAAUGCCUUUAGAAAAAAAAAUAAGAGAGGUUGUAGUCAUCUGGAAUGGGUUGGGAAAUUAUUGUAAUUAUAUUAUUUUAGCAAGUGGAAAGGAGGUAUUGAGUUUUAUUGCUUGGUGAUUAUGAAUGUUAUUAUUUUUAAGUUUCUGUGGGGUACAGGGGCAUACUUCUUAUAUAUCUGAUUCCUGCAUGAAUGAAUGAAUGAAGAAGAAGAAGAAGAAGAAGAAGAAGAAGAAGAAGAAGAAGAAGAAGAAGAAUUAUUUUCAGCUCACAAACCCUAAACAGGGAUCAUCCAUUGAAAUGACCUCCUUAUGAGGAGAGUUUCAUUUGUGAUCCUACAAUGGAGAAAAAUGUUUCUGCCCAUAUGCUUGUAGUUUCCAUAUACUUAAAGUUUCCAUAGCGUCCUAAUUUCUGUUUUAAAGUUGGAGGGCAGAAUCCCUGUGCUCUGACAGAGAAACAGUGGUUGUUAUCUCAGUAUGUGCCAGCAUUAAGAUAACAGUGUCAUUGUACAGAUUGUUACCCUGUGAAUUUGUCUAAUAAGUUAUUACAACGUGUGCUGAGCAGAUGGCAAGUGUGCUCCUGAAAGAACUGAUGGAUGGGAUAUGAUGUCAUCAAUGAGAUGACAAGGUUCACAAGGUACUUGACCUCCAAGAAUAAGUCCUAACUGGUUAGAAUUCUAAAUGGUGAACUUUGGUGACACGAGCUAAAUGGGAAAUAUGUGCAAUUUGUAUUUCUUUAUGGUGGUGUUUACCCCCUUCACUGAACUCCACAUAAUGGGAUUUUGUCCCUGAAGACCCAGAGAUAUUGUUGGAGGGUUGCACCCUGUAACCUUCUGAGGAUUUCAAAUACAAAUCCACACAUCUAAACUUUAACAAAAUCACAGUGAAUGUUAUUUAUGAAGUCAGGUUCAGAGCUUUCCCUCUUUUAUAUGUAUAUAUGCAGAAAGAACUUAGUUAAGACAUCCCAUUAAUUUUAACAUGUUAUCACAAAAUAGCAAAGUGCUGACUCCGUGAAAAUAUUCAGUGCAUAAAAUUAAACUUUUAUAUUUUCAUUAAAAUAUAUUUCUAUAUAUACAAGCCUAAAAUAAGCUGUCAGAGAUCCUGAUGUUGUCUUUAUAUUUUAAUUAUGACUUUACUUGCACUUACAGGUGACAAACCUAAACACAUUAACAUUUUUAUUUCAAUAUUAUCAUUUUAAAAUUUCAAAUGACUCCAGAAUCUGUUUUGUAUCACCUAUCUGAUAUGAUCUCAGCAAAUCUAUUCUGAACAGAGAUCAGAACAAGUAUGAUUACAGAUACAGGGGCUCAGAGGAAACAUGGACAGAACAUGAUAAUAGGCUAUAUGCAUUGUGUGAAAUCAAAUAAAAAAAAAAACACCCAACUAUUUAGAACUGUUUUGUGGAGAGAAGGUUGACUGAUUAAAAGACAUGUCCAAGAAGAAGACAUUUAAAUGUAUGAAAGAAAGGACCAAGCAACAAAGCAUGAACUCCCUCUUUUGAACAUUCUCACAUCAGAUUUUAUGCAUUAAGCUGACAAGAAUUCUAAGGUCUAACAAAAAUAAAUUGCCAUAAGUACGGUGGGAUGCAUUGUUGUUUUUGUUCAUUUCGAAUAACCGAGCUCAGGUUAUUAAUAAUGAAGAUGUUUUGAAAAAUGAGGCCAGUAUCUUUUUAUUGAAGGAGAUGAAAGAAAUAUACAUAUAUAACUGUGACUAACAUAAAGGAUAUGCAUGUUUCUGUGGCAUAUUCUGGAAGAGUUGUUAAGUGCUGGGAAUAGCAAUUUGAUUAUGAGGUAUAUUGUCAUAUCCAUAUAUAUCAAUGCUAUCAGGUGUUAAAGAGAAAACAGAGAGAUAGUGUCUUUAGCUCAGAAGUAAAUGAUGUUAUAAAAAUAAUGGUUUUAUCAAAUAAAUGAAUUUACAAUGAAAUAAAUUACCCCAUGAAGUUUAUUCAUUCCGUACCUUUAUAAGAAUCUGUCGUGGCAGUAGAAGACGCAGAGAUGUAGUAAUUUAUUCCAUAUUUUUAUAUAAAUUCUAACUGUAAAUAAAGUACUGAGGGCUUCUUAAUGACUUUAAGUUGACAGCAAAAGUUUAGCCUAUAGUUGCAAAUGUUAUAACAAUGAAUUAAUUUUAGAGCAAUUACUAUGGUAAUACAGAUUAUAAUUUAGAUUCAGUCUUAUCUCUUUGGAUAUAUCAAAGCCUAUAUGUUUAAACCAGUUCUAAACUCUAGAAGCUUAUACUAUCAUGUGUUAAUAUUGCCUGGAUGAUUAGCAUAAUUAAACAGUAUUCUGUCAAUGUAUAUCAAGUGAUCAAAAGAGCUUAUGAAAUUAUUUGAUAAAUUAUUCAAAUGGAUUUGCUAUUUUUAAUAUAAAUGAAAUAACAGAACCCAUAUCUCAUACCACAUUGACACUCAGUAUUGAUUAUAUGGCUAAACCAUUUUCAGGGGCUGACUUUACUUAAUCUGAUCUCUUUUUCUGUCUGAGGCAGAUAAAAUAUUAAUACAAGGUAAAUGAGUGCUCACUGAACUUGCCAUAUGGCCCCUGUGGAGGACAGAGGGGCCUGGGCAGCCUAUGGACUUGCCAUAUGGGCCUAGAGGGAAAAGUGAUUGCUCCUGGUUGAAUCUCUAGUCAGGAGCUGAAUGGCAUGUGUAUGGAGACAAGGGAAAGAAGAAAAGGUAAUUAUCACAGUUCUAGAUUUGUAUCUAUAAAGAGGCAGCGUGGUGUGUUGUUACUUUGCUUUUUUCUAUUUAUUUGUUUCUCGUAUUUUUUCUUAUUGAGAAAGCAAGUAGAAAUUCUUCACUUAAAGUCUUGAUGAGUAAAAGGAAGCUUUGAUAAGUAAAACAAAUCUUUAUUUCAAAGAAAACAUCAUCAAGUGCUUAAGUUCCCUCCACCGCAUACCUUGCUGUAUCCUAGAGGGUCUUCUUUCUAAUUUUCUUAGUUUGGUUAAUGUCAGGUACUUUUUCCUGGGUCUCAAUCACACAAACUAAAAUUUUCUCUUUGAUUUCUACCACUUCCUCAUGCCACACUUUAGUUUCUAUGACUUUCUUGCCAGUAUCUCUAGAACUGGAGUGCCCAACAAGCUGAUAAAAAGGCUUUAAAUAGUCGAUUUCUAGAUGGGGCUGCCACCACAAUACUCCCAUUUCUCCCAUACUCAUGCUCUCAUUGCCCACUCACAAUUUUCUAGAAUUCUCAUCGAAGCAAGGAUUAGGACUGGCCAUGGGCCUUUCUCAUUGUUCCGUCAGUAUUAUUCCUACAGAGACUUUAUGGGAUUUGGAACCAGAUAAGUUAAUGCCAUAGGAAAAAACCCUGAAUGAUGAAAUGGCAUAAACAUGAUUUCAAAUUCUGUCCAUGUCCUUGACUAGCUGUGUGACAUUAGGAAAAUCACACAAUCUCUUUAAGAUUCAGUCUUUUUUUGUGUGUGGUGAAAAAGGAUAGUACUAUGCAAGAUUGUUCUGUGAGAAUAACAUAAAAUAAUGCAUUCAGAGUUCUAAUACAUGGAUAAAAUAAGCAUUUUACUGCAACAUUGUUUAUCAUACCAAACAUUUUGGAACCGACUGAACACUGCAAUAGAAGAAUGAAUAAAUAAAAGAUAGCAUAGUUGUAUGAUAUAAUUUAAUACAGCACUUCAAAUGAAUACAAAGAUCUAUGGGAAACAACUUAGGGAAAUCUCAAAAACACAAUAAAAGUUGGAAAAAAGAUAUUAACAGUAUGAUGUUAUUUAUGUAAACUUAACUCAAAGUCAUGGUAAAUAUUUCUCAUGGUUGCACACAAAUAUAGAUACAUUCAGAUCUAUAUUUCUAUGUAUUAUCUGUAGCUAUAUGAACUAGAAUGAAACACUACAAAUUCAUCAUUUUAGUUUACUCUGAGAAGAAUGAAUGGAAUGGAACUGAGAUUAACAAGAUGAUAGGAGUAGCAUCUGUGGAAUUGGGUAAUUAAGUGUUCGUUUUUUGGGCAUAUGAAUUUCAAGAUGCCUCUUAGAGAUCCCGGUGGAGAUGUGAGUCCAGAGAUGAGGGCAGUUCAGGCAAAAGGUCUGAGCUAAAGAUAUAAAUUUUGGAGCCAUCAGCAUAUAGAUGGUAUUUAAAGGCGUGGGUCUGAAUGAGAUCAUGAGGGAAUGCGUACAGCAAAGAGAAAAGGUCAGAAGGUACCCUGUAAUAUUUUGAGCUUGAAAAGAUUAGAUGAAAAAGAAAAGCAAUAAGGAGACUAUGAAGAAGCUGCCAUUGAGGUUUGGGGAGAAGAACAGAGAGGGUGGUGACCUGGAAACCAAGUAAAGAAAGUGUUUCAAGAGUGAAGGAAUAAUCAACACAUCCAGGACUGCUGAUAACUAAGGGGAGGUCUGGGAAUUAACUCUCUGGUUUGGUAACAUUGACGUCACGGUUGAUUUUGAAAAAAAGAAAAGGAGUUUUAUUAGGAAGGGAGGCAUAUAAAACUGACUAGAGUGAGUUCAAGAUUAAGUCAUGGGGAGAAGAUGAAGUUACAGAAUAUACAUAACGCUUGAAAAGGGAUACGAAAACUUGGGACAGUAAUUGAAGGAAAGGAUGAUACCAAGGGAGAUUUUCUUUUGUAGAGGAUGGGAUGUAACACAAAAAUGCUUAUAUGCAUUCAGAAUUAUUCAGUAAAGAGGGGAAGAGUCUAGUAAGAGGACAAAGUUGCAGAAGAGUUCCCAAUUAUUUAGUAAAUGAGACAGAGAAAAGAAUGACUUACUCACGAUCAUUAAUUUUUGAAAAGCUUGAUAUAGAAUCCAGAUUGAAAAGCAUAGAGAAACUAUAAGCCAAUCCUUCCCCUCAGAAUUUGAAACUCCAUGUUUAGGAUACAGAUAAACUCAAAUUACCGUCAAGUAAUCAAAUAACAAUGUAAUGUUUAGUAUAUCCCUCUUUAAGUAUACAUGGCCUGUGUCUGGCCUGCAUCUAAAAUGAUACAAACAAGUACAUGUUAUUCUUUUGUUUUUAUCUUCUAAGAGAAACUUAAAAAAAGAGUAAGCAUCAUGAGAGCUCAAGAUAGAUGAAGCCCAAGAUAGAUGAAGAGAUGGUAAGAAGUCUUGGCUAUUUUAAAUGAAUUCAGGCCAUAUGAAUUAUGUUCUAAGAUAUUUGAAGUAAAUUACAGCUGAGUUUUUUGGCCCAUAGACAAGAGAUAAUGGAUGAGUAAACAAGCCAAUGCAGUUAUGAUUAAAAAAAAAAAAAAAGAAUGUUCACAGAACAAUGUAAGAAGCCCA